CCUACGGGUGGCAGCAGUAGGGAAUUUUCGUCAAUGGGCGCAAGCCUGAACGAGCGAUGCCGCGUGAGUGAAGAAGACCUUCGGGUCGUAAAGCUCUGUUGCGGGGGAAAAAAAUUAGCAUAAGGAAAUGGUUGCUGACUGACGGUACCCUGCCAGAAAGCCAAGGCUAACUACGUGCCAGCAGCCGCGGUAAUACGUAGGUGGCGAGCGUUAUCCGGAAUGAUUGGGCGUGAAGGGUGCGCAGGCGGUCCUGCAAGUCUGGAGUGAAAUGCCUGAGCCUAACCCAGGCAUGGCUUUGGAAACUGGAGGACUGGAGUGCGGGGGAGGGAGGUGGAAUUCCAGGUGUAGCGGUGAAAUGCGUAGAUAUAUGGAAGAACACCAGUGGCGAAGGCAGCCUACUGGCCUGUUGCUGACGCUGAGGCACGAAAGCGUGGGGAGCAAACAGGAUUAGAUACCCGGGUAGUC
rnacentral:rRNA from 1 species